rnacentral:rRNA from 1 species
UACGUAGGGGGCAAGCGUUGUUCCGGAUUUAUUGGGCGUAAAGAGCGUGUAGGCGGCCGUACAGGUCAAGCUGUGAAAACUCGAGGCUCAACCUCGAGACGUCGGUUGAAACCGUACGGCUAGAGUCCGGAAGAGGAGAGUGGAAUUCCCGGUGUAGCGGUGGAAAUGCGCAGAUAUCAGGAGGAACACCGAUGGCGAAGGCAGGUCUCUGGGCACUUAACUGACGUGAGGAGCGAAAGGCAUGGGGAGCGAACCAGG